rnacentral:rRNA from 1 species
UACGGGGGGAGCAAGCGUUGUUCGGAUUUACUGGGCGUAAAGGGCGCGUAGGCGGCCACCGCAAGUCAAUUGUGAAAUCUCCGGGCUUAACUCGGAAAGGUCAACUGAUACUGCGGGGCUAGAGUGCAGAAGGGGCAACUGGAAUUCUCGGUGUAGCGGUGAAAUGCGUAGAUAUCACUUGGAACGCCAAUGGUGAAAACAGCUCGCUGGGAAUGAUCUGACACUGAGACGCGAAAGCCAGGGGAGCGAACGGG